AGUGAACGCUGGCGGUAGGCCUAACACAUGCAAGUCGAACGGCAGCACAGUAAGAGCUUGCUCUUACGGGUGGCGAGUGGCGGACGGGUGAGGAAUACAUCGGAAUCUACUUUUUCUUGGGGGAUAACGUAGGGAAACUUACGCUAAUACCGCAUACGACCUACGGGUUAAAGCAGGGGAUCUUCGGACCUUGCGCGUUUGAAUGAGCCGAUGUCGGAUUAGCUAGUUGGCGGGGUAAAGGCCCACCAAGGCGACGAUCCGUAGCUGGGCUGAGAGGAUGAUCGGCCACACUGGAACUGAGACACGGUCCAGACUCCUACGGGAGGCAGCAGUGGGGAAUAUUGGACAAUGGGCGCAAGCCUGAUCCAGCCAUACCGCGUGGGUGAAGAAGGCCUUCGGGUUGUAAAGCCCUUUUGUUGGGAAAGAAAAGCAGCAGGUUAAUACCCCGCUGUUCUGACGGUACCCAAAGAAUAAGCACCGGCUAACUUCGUG
rnacentral:rRNA from 1 species